GCCCGAUUGGUGGAAUGGUAGACACGCGGGAUUUAGGUUCCCGUGCCUUACAGCGUGAGGGUUCGAGUCCCUUGUCGGGUACCA
rnacentral:tRNA from 1 species